rnacentral:rRNA from 1 species
GAUGAACGCUGGCGGCGUGCCUAAUACAUGCAAGUCGAGCGAACGGACGAGAAGCUUGCUUCUCUGAUGUUAGCGGCGGACGGGUGAGUAACACGUGGAUAACCUACCUAUAAGACUGGGAUAACUUCGGGAAACCGUAGCUAAUACCGGAUAAUAUUUUGAACCGCAUGGUUCAAAAGUGAAAGGCGGUCUUGCUGUCACUUAUAGAUGGAUCCGCGCUGCAUUAGCUAGUUGGUAAGGUAACGGCUUACCAAGGCAACGAUGCAUAGCCGACCUGAGAGGGUGGUCGGCCACACUGGAACUGAGACACGGUCCAGACUCCUACGGGAGGCAGCAGUAGGGAAUCUUCCGCAAUGGGCGGAAGCCUGACGGAGCAACGCCGCGUGAGUGAUGAAGGUCUUCGGAUCGUAAAACUCUGUUAUUAGGGAAAAACAUAUGUGUAAGUAACUGUGCACAUCUUGACGGUACCUAAUCAGAAAGCCACGGCUAACUACGUG